rnacentral:rRNA from 1 species
UACGGGGGGGGCAAGCGUUGUUCGGAAUUACUGGGCGUAAAGGGCUCGUAGGUGGCCAACUAAGUCAGACGUGAAAUCCCCAGGCUCAACUUGGGAACUGCGUCUGAUACUGGAUGGCUUGAAUUCGGGAGAGGGAUGCAGAAUUCCAGGUGUAGCGGUGAAAUGCGUAGAUAUCUGGAGGAAUACCGGUGGCGAAGGCGGCAUCCUGGACCGAGACUGACGCUGAGGCGCGAAAGCGUGGGGAGCAAACAGG